rnacentral:tRNA from 1 species
UCCCUGGAGGACUAGUGGUUAGGCCACAAUGCUCUCGCCGCUGCGGCCUGCGUUUGAUUCCCGCCCAGGGAC